rnacentral:rRNA from 1 species
AGCGAACGCUGGCGGCAGGCCUAACACAUGCAAGUCGAACGAAGUCUUCGGACUUAGUGGCGGACGGGUGAGUAACACGUGGGAACGUACCUUUUGGUUCGGAACAACUCAGGGAAACUUGAGCUAAUACCGGAUGAGCCCUUAGGGGGAAAGAUUUAUCGCCGAAAGAGCGGCCCGCGUUAGAUUAGCUAGUUGGUGAGGUAAAGGCUCACCAAGGCUACGAUCUAUAGCUGGUCUGAGAGGGUGAUCAGCCACACUGGGACUGAGACACGGCCCAGACUCCUACGGGAGGCAGCAGUGGGGAAUCUUGCGCAAUGGGCGAAAGCCUGACGCAGCCAUGCCGCGUGAAUGAUGAAGGUCUUAGGAUUGUAAAAUUCUUUUACCAGGGACGAUAAUGACGGUACCUGGAGAAAAAGCCCCGGCUAACUUCGUGCCAGCCGCCGCGGAAAAAC